AGUGAACGCUGGCGGUAGGCCUAGCACAUGCAAGUCGAACGGCAGCACAGUAAGAGCUUGCUCUUACGGGUGGCGAGUGGCGGACGGGUGAGGAAUACAUCGGAAUCUACUUUUUCGUGGGGGAUAACGUAGGGAAACUUACGCUAAUACCGCAUACGACCUACGGGUGAAAGCAGGGGAUCUUCGGACCUUGCGCGAUUGAAUGAGCCGAUGUCGGAUUAGCUAGUUGGCGGGGUAAAGGCCCACCAAGGCGACGAUCCGUAGCUGGUCUGAGAGGAUGAUCAGCCACACUGGAACUGAGACACGGUCCAGACUCCUACGGGAGGCAGCAGUGGGGAAUAUUGGACAAUGGGCGCAAGCCUGAUCCAGCCAUACCGCGUGGGUGAAGAAGGCCUUCGGGUUGUAAAGCCCUUUUGUUGGGAAAGAAAAGCAGCAGGUUAAUACCCCGCUGUUCUGACGGUACCCAAAGAAUAAGCACCGGCUAACGUCGUG
rnacentral:rRNA from 1 species